GGCCGGGGCGGCGCGGGGCGGCGCGGGAGGCCCCCGGCGGCCGAGGGGAGCUGCGCAGGAGGCCGGCGCCCGGCCCGGCGAGCGCGCGCGCGGGGGUGUCCUCGCUCGGUGCGCGCGAGUGACUCACUCCGCUUCGCCCGGGCGCCGCGGGGGAAACAGGAAACUCCUCGCCAACAGCUGGGCAGGACCUCUCGCCGCCCGAAAGCCUGCUCCCGCGGCUCGGCCUCCAGCCCUCCUCUCCCCCGCCUGCCAAUCACGUCCCCGAGACCGGCCCCUCCGAGGGAUUUGGCGAACUGGCGGCCGCCCCCGGCGCCCUCGGGAGCUCCCGGCCCCGAGGCUUCGCCCCGGCGCCCCCGGGGCACGCGCUCCGCUCGGGGCAGCCGCGGGGCGCGCAGAGGGGCACACUCUUCCGGGCACCCCCUCGGAGCAUCCUCCGCCUUGCCCCAGGUGCCCCGGGGCCGUGUCUGCGGACCCCCGAGUGCCCGACGCCCGGGUGCGUCCCGAGACGGGAGUCGCGAGCACAGUGUUUUGUGUGUGUUUGCUUCGGGGCCCGCAGCCUGUACGGCCGCACUAAACUUUGCUUUCGGUUGCGCGUAUGCACACACCGCCGCUUUGCGAGAUGUUCUUCUCAGCUGCAGGUCGAAGUCCGGAAGUUUUGUUUUGUUUUGUGUUGUUGCAACCCCGCCCUUGACUGUGCAUCUCCACCACCUGAGUAUCUUGCUUAAAACGCGGAUUUUGACCCGGGAUGUCCGCCCGAGGAAAACACUACUUCCCGGCUCUGGUGUUCAGGAUGCUGGAAGUGCAGUGGAAUCGGAAGCACUGGGCAUCUUCUUGUUGACCAAACAGCCUUGCAAAGCUGGAGCCACGUUAACCAUGGAGGAAAGUUGUGUUCAGAAUCUGCCUCCUUGCCAUUUCCUCCACUGCCACCCCACCUGUGCCACUGCCAUCCCUCGGACAGGAGUCUCCCAACCACCCAUCCCCAGUCCAGGCCAUCCUGGGCCCUGUCACCCAAUUUCUCAACUCAGAACUAAAGGCCAUUUUUCAAAAUGCAAACCUAAUUAUACCAGCCCUCUGAUUAAAUUCAUUCGAUGGUUUCCCACUGCUCUUGAGAUGGAGGUUAGAAACCGGAUCCCUCAAUGGCUGUCCCUCUCUGGUAACCUUUCUUUAGGCUUCUCUUCCUCUCCUGCUGAUAGCCUUCUCCAAAUUCAUACAGCACACCCACUAUUCCUCCUGCAUAGAGCCUUCCCCACGGACCCCAUCCUUUUCUCUGUCCCUCCUUUCUUCUUCACACAGACAACUCCUGGUCUUGCUUUGGGAUAUCCUGACUUCCUUGAUGGACAAGCUUUCCCUGACCUCCCUGAUUGAUCUUUUAUUAUAGGUUCUCUUGGCACCCUUCGCUUCUCACUUUUAGCCCUUACUACAGCUGUGGUUUUAUGAUUAUUUUGUGUCAUUCAUUCACUUCUAUUCCUCUCUUCCACUCAAGUCCAAAUUUUUUUUUGAGGACAGGGAUUAAAUAUUUUCCCUCCACUCACUAUUACAGCCUUAGUACCUAGCACAUAACAGGUGUUCAGUAAAUGUCUGUUGGAUGAAGGAAAGAAUGAGGUAAUAAAGAUUCAGAAGAAUGUUCGACUUAAUCAUCCUCGCUAUUUCACAACUCUGGAGAAGGCAUUCUAUUACCUACUAAACUGAGAUGUAAACAGGUUAGAUUUUAGCUGAGGGUGAUGUCACUAUUACUUCCUUUUCUUUAAAAAGGAGAAGUGUGUGAGCUUUUUUCUUUUUUUCUAAAUUUGCCCAAGUUCCUCUGGGCAGCAUACAUAUACUUCCUUACUCCCCCAAAUACACUGAGAGCCAAAUAAAAAAGCCCAAGGGAUUCCAAAGGCGUUCUUUCCUACACUUAUUGCAAAGACAGAUGUUUGACACUGCUAGAGGCCAGGUGUGAGAUAUUCAAUCCCAUGGUGAAGUAUUUAACUGGUGGUCUUUGUCAUCAAUGUAUCACAAACGUUGAUUUUAAUUUUGUUUGCCUUUAACAUUUCUGAUUUAAUCCCCGUCUCCUGUGAAAUUGAGAGUCUGAAUUCAGCAUUCAGUGCCAACUCCUCCUUUAGAAGCUGUCACAGUAAAAUCAGAGGAAACACACCUAUCGCAAUUGGACAACCUUAAAAAUUUGUCAAUAUGAACUUCCUUUUGGGAUUCUCGCUGAAAGAGAAGUCUGGUACUCUGGAUUGAAACAUUGUUUUCACAUAGAGAGUUCUAUAUUUGACUCAAUAUAAUUUUCAGCUAAUAUACAUAUGCAAAAAUUGGGCCAUUUGCGGAUAGAAACAAAAAUUAAAAGCUCAACUCGGGACUUAAAAAACAAAGAGAGUAAUUUUUAGGCCCUUACCAAGUUGAAAAACAAUAAAAACCAAGUUGAACCAAAGUUAAACAGCUUGAGCGUCUCCAUAUUUCCAGUUUUACGAAAUCUGAACACAUGCACAGACACACAAAACAAUUAGACUGAAUCAAAAUGUAGUUAAUUUAAGCCCUGUAUUUUCCAGUUGUGAUGAGGCAAGAACUUUCUACUCUCCUGAACUUCUUGACAUGCAGCUGUUGAGGUUACUGGCAACCAAAGCAGUUGAUGGGGAGACUCCUCUCCAUAUAAAUCAAGCAUUUUCCAUUCUCAGCUCUUGACCAAUUUCCUUUCUAUUGUGAAGCAGACCAGUGAGCACUGAGACAAUAGUAAAAGUGUGAGGAUCACUCCCCCUUUCAGAGUCAUACACAGGUUAGUUCCUCAGGGAAAUGGUUUGUGACUCCUCCAGCUUAAACUAAUCCCUCCUCUCCCAAAGAAAACCUGAGGAGCAUUUAGUUUAUUUCACCUAUUUUUAAAAUGUUUAGCCCAUUCUGACAUGGAGUGCAUUAUAAUUAUUCAUUGUUUUCUAGAAUCCCAUCCCACCAAUUGUGAAGUCCUUGGAAGCAUAGAUUAUUCCCUUUUCAACUUGGAACCACACUAGGUGCCCUAUAGUACUUAAUGUAUGUUUCCUGUCUUCAAUAAAGGGGAAAAAAAUGAGGGUAUCUGGUUUUCUAAUCCAAACCUUUGUUUGCAGUUCUUCACAGUUAUUAAUAAAACCUGAAAAUAUACAACAUGUUUAGAGAAAGCAUGAAUAGUUGCUUUUUGAAAAAACAUAGCUUUGUUUUAAAUUACAAAAAUAAUAUAUGGUAACUGCAG
rnacentral:lncRNA from 1 species